rnacentral:rRNA from 1 species
GCUUAGCGACUGCGGAGGACAUUACCGAGUGCGGGCCCUCGCGGCCCAACCUCCCACCCGUGUCUCUCUCUACCUGUUGCUUUGGCGGGCCCACCGGGGCCACCCGGUCGCCGGGGGACGUCCGUCUCCGGGCCCGCGCCCGCCGAAGCGCCCUGUGAACCCUGAUGAAGAUGGGCUGUCUGAGUCGCAUGAAAAUUGUCAAAACUUUCAACAAUGGAUCUCUUGGUUCCGGCAUCGAUGAAGAACGCAGCGAAAUGCGAUAAGUAAUGUGAAUUGCAGAAUUCCGUGAAUCAUCGAAUCUUUGAACGCACAUUGCGCCCCCUGGCAUUCCGGGGGGCAUGCCUGUCCGAGCGUCAUUUCUGCCCUCAAGCGCGGCUUGUGUGUUGGGCGUGGUCCCCCCGGGGACCUGCCCGAAAGGCAGCGGCGACGUCCGUCCGGUCCUCGAGCGUAUGGGGCUCUGUCACUCGCUCGGGACGGAUCGGCGGAGGUUGGUCACCACCACAGUUUUACCACGGUUGACCUCGGAUCAGGUAGGAGUUACCCGCUGAACUUAAGCAUAUCAAAGC